CCUCCUUGAGACUUCUCCCGUUGGUCUCCGCCAGCCUGCUCUCUCUCUCUCUGGCGAUGAGGAGCGGCGCUUCUCCUCCCGCCGGCGCUCAUCUCUUCUUGGUGUCCAUCUUCGUCUUUGCCAUGCUCUUCUAUCCUGUUCUUGCCGGCGGCGCGGAGGCGAGCAAUGCGACGGAGGUCUCGAUUUCCGGAUCGGGGAAGGAAGGCAGCUUCGCGGACAUCAUCGAUCGGGCUCUCCAGAAGGAGUUCUCGGAGAGCGAGCAGAGCGGUGGAGAGACUGAUGCGGGCAGUUUUAACAACACUGUUGCUGAGAAACAGGCAGUUCUGGAAACGGUAGCUAGAGUUACACCAAAGAAAAAUGAAACCAAAGAGGAGAAGUUAUUUCAGUUUCAUGAUGUUUUUAACCUGGAUAAUGAAAACCUAGCAGAGGAUACUCCUACCUUAAUAGCUCGCAAGGAUAAUGUUUUUAUUAUAUCAAACCCCAAGUCAAAGUAUCCUGUUCUACAGUUAGAUCUGAGGUUGAUAUCUGAUCUUGUAGUGAUCAUUGUAUCUGCAACCUGCGGUGGGAUUGCCUUUGCUCGUGCUGGACAACCGGUGAUUACCGGAUACUUACUUGCAGGAUCUGUCAUUGGACCUGGAGGUUUUAGCUUCAUCAGUGAAAUGGUGCAAUUUCUUGCUGACAUGGCGGAGAUUGCUGAAAACAAAAGCAUUGAAACUACCUCCCUGAAGUGGAGUGUGAGUGCUAGAUGCUUGUUAAGUGUGAAAGAGGGGAAAAACUUAUUGGUAGCAGGUUGAAACAGUAGCUCAGUUCGGUGUUAUUUUUCUUCUUUUUGCAUUGGGCCUGGAAUUCUUUGCAGCAAAGCUUCAUGUUGUUCGGGCAGUUGCUGUUCUUGGGGGCUUGCUUCAAAUUGUAUUGUUUAUGUGUUUGUGUGGUGCAGCUGCAUCAUUAUGUGGGGGCAAAACUUCUGAGGGGGUGUUUGUAGGUGCAUUCUUGUCUAUGUCUUCAACAACUGUGGUAUUUUCCUAAAUUUGCUUACAAUUUCACGAAUAAGUAAGAUGAAUUGAGUAUUUCUUUGCAUUGAUGUGUCACAAUAAUCAAUAUGUGAGAAAGGAUAUGAAUUUUGGUCUUGUGUAUGCACUGUUAUUCAGUCAAUAUAUAAGAUAAAUUGAGCAUUUCUUUACUUGCA